GUGCAUGAAUUCGUGCACUGGGCCUCUUGUCUACACUAAUAAAAGAGAAAGAUGCAAAUUGACCAUACCUUCAUGAUGCCCACCAGCCAAUCAGGAAUGAGUAUGCAAAUUAAGGCAACAAAGAUGGCGGGUUAAUUUGCAUACUCA